AUGGAGGAAUCACUCAGGUGUAUCUCCCUCUGUGAUCCUGAGGGUGUCCAUGCCUUCAUCCUGGUGCUACCUGUGGCUCCCCUCACUGAUGAAAACAAGAGAGAGUUAGAGACACAGGACACAUUCGGCUCUCGAGUCAAUGACUUCACCAUGAUUCUGUUCACUGUGGACUCAGAUCCUACAGAUACAGCUGUUGGUAACUUUCUAAAUGGAAACCAGGACAUCCAGCAGCUCUGUAAUGAACAGAUGCAGAGCCCAGAAAGUCUCAGGAUUGUGCUGAUAGGUAAGACUGGCUGUGGAAAAAGCACUUCAGGAAACACAAUUCUAGGAAGAGGAGAUACAUUUGUAUCUAAACCUUUCCAAAAGUCGGUCACCAAGCGCUGUCAGAAAGAACAGGGCGAUGUGAACGGUUAUCCUGUUAUUGUGGUCGACACUCCUGGAUUGUUUGACAACAGUUUAACACAUGAACAGAUCAAUGAGGAGAUGUUGAAAUGUGUCAGUCUUCUGGCUCCAGGACCACAUGUCUUCCUACUGGUUGUACAGAUUGCCAGAUUCACACCAGAAGAAAAGGAGACAUGGAACUGAUCAAGAAAGUCUUUGGGAAGAACUCUGAGAAGUUCACCAUUGUUCUUUUCACAAGAGGAGAUUCACUGGAACAUGCAAAGGUGUCUGUUGAAGAAUACAUUGAAAACUCUGAUCAUUCCUUGAAGAAGCUGAUCUCUGACUGUGGAGGAAGAUACCAUGUGUUCAAUAAUUAUAAGCAGAACUGCACACAAGUGAAUGAGCUGAUAACAAAGAUUGACACCAUGGUGAAGAACAAUGGAGGAAACUACUACACCAAUGAGAUGCUGCAAGAGGCUGAAACUGCAAUACAGAAAGAAAUGCAGAGGAUCCUGAAGGAGAAAGAAGAAGAGAUGAAGAGACAGCAGGAAAAGCUUCAAAGUACAUAUGAGGAAAGAAUCCAAUCCAUGAAUAAAAGAAUGGAAGAACAGAAAGCAGAAAUUGAUCAGGAAAUAAAGCUGAGAGACGAACAACUUAAAAAACUGCAGGACAGCAUCCGCAUUCAGUCUGAAGAGAGGAAGAAAGAACAAGAAAUUAGAGACGAAGAAGACAGGAAGAAAACAGAAAAGGAACAACUUCAAAGACGAGAAUGGGAACAAACAAUACAAGAACUUGAGGAAAAACUACGAUCAGAGUCAGAAUCAAGGGAAAUAAUCGAUAAAGAGUGUGAACAUUACAGAGAAAGAACAAGAGAGCAGCAAAAGACUUGGGAGAAGGAAAUAAAGGAAUUGGAGGAAAAACAAGAUCUCAGCGACCACAGGAAGGGCGAGGAUCCUGGAGAUCUCGAGGCCUGCUGA